rnacentral:rRNA from 1 species
GCUUAACACAUGCAAGUCGAAACGAUGAUGCCCAGCUUGCUGGGUGGAUUAGUGGCGAACGGGGUGAGUAACACGUGAGUAACCUGCCCUUGACUUCGGGGAUAACUCCGGGAAACCGGGGCUAAUACCGGGAUAUGAGCUACCUUCGCAUGGGGGUGGUUGGAAAGUUUUUCGGUCAGGGAUGGGCUCGCGGCCUAUCAGCUUGUUGGUGGGGUGAUGGCCUACCAAGGCGACGACGGGUAGCCGGCCUGAGAGGGCGACCGGCCACACUGGGACUGAGACACGGCCCAGACUCCUACGGGAGGCAGCAGUGGGGAAUAUUGCACAAUGGGCGAAAGCCUGAUGCAGCGACGCCGCGUGAGGGAUGAAGGCCUUCGGGUUGUAAACCUCUUUCAGCAGGGAAGAAGCGCAAGUGACGGUACCUGCAGAAGAAGCGCCGGCUAACUACGUGCCAGCAGCCGCGGUAAUACGUAGGGCGCAAGCGUUGUCCGGAAUUAUUGGGCGUAAAGAGCUCGUAGGCGGUUUGUCGCGUCUGGUGUGAAAACUCGAGGCUCAACCUCGAGCUUGCAUCGGGUACGGGCAGACUAGAGUGCGGUAGGGGAGACUGGAAUUCCUGGUGUAGCGGUGGAAUGCGCAGAUAUCAGGAGGAACACCGAUGGCGAAGGCAGGUCUCUGGGCCGCAACUGACGCUGAGGAGCGAAAGCAUGGGGUGCAGACAGGAUUAGAUACCCUGGUAGUCC